rnacentral:rRNA from 1 species
UACGUAGGGUGCGAGCGUUAAUCGGAAUUACUGGGCGUAAAGCGUGCGCAGGCGGUUCGUUAAGUCAGCUGUGAAAGCCCCGGGCUCAACCGGGGAACUGCGUCCGAUACUGGCGGGCUUGAAUUCGGGAGAGGGAUGUGGAAUUCCAGGUGUAGCGGUGAAAUGCGCAGAUAUCAGGAGGAACACCGGUGGCGAAGGCGGGUCUCUGGGCCGAUACUGACGCUGAGGAGCGAAAGCGUGGGGAGCGAACAGG